CUCUUGUUAGCUCAGUUGAUAGAGUGCUCCGCUGGAAAUGGAUAGGUGCCGGGUUCGAUACCCGGACCAGGCG
rnacentral:tRNA from 1 species